GCUUCUAGUGGAUGAGUUUCUAAGUGAAACUUUCGCAACACCUUGACUCCUUCACAUCAAACCUUCCCGCGCUACGUUGCUCGUGAAUGAGUGUUUUAGCUUUUGAGAACCCAAAGGUCAUUGCGGUGACAAGGAGAUCUAUCACUUUCCAGGUUCGUGUUCUUUGAUGCCUAACGUUUUUUGUUUAACAAGAUAUAGGGUUUGUUGCUUGAAUUCCUGUUCAUAUUUUGAUUUCGUUGAUUUGUCUUCUUUUUAUUUUCAUUUAUGUUUGGAAGUACAUAUUACCUUUUGAGUGGUGAUUUUUAACUCUAAUGAAUUUGAAAUUCCAUGGUUCACAAAGGUGAGAUUGACGGGACUUGAAAUUCCAUGGUUCACAACCUAAAAUAAACCCUAUUUCUCAUUUGCUUCUAGUAUUCUGCCAACAAGCUCUGGCUUAGAGUUUAGAGUAGGGAAUAACUUAAAUUUCAAAACAUUUAAUUGCUUUAUGGAAGGGGGAAUGUGAAUAAUAAUUAAGAAAGAAAACAUGUAGGCUAAUUGGAAGAACAAUGGUUAUAGGUGAAUAUUUAUGGGUUGGGGGUUCAACUAGUUGUAUAAUAUUCAUUGCCUUCUACAUAAGUGAUUUUAUUCUUUAUUUUAUUGUGUGGCGGAAUUGGAAUUUUUUGCUGGGGAAAGUGGAAGCUAAGCACGUAGAACAGAACAGAACAGAGGAAUGGAAUAAAAGAAGAGAGGUUAAGGCUAAAAGAGUAGUGUAUUUAUUAGGGAAGAAAAGAAAAUUCUAAAUUUCUAAUAGCAUGGUGUGGCACAUUCCCGUAAUUAUUGGAAACUAGAGUGUCCUGUUUAGUCUCAUAAUUCGAAAUGUAUGAUCAUGAUUUGAUUGCUACACUUUCAAAAAUCAAAAUCUAUUCUUAUCUUUUGGUUACUCACCUGAUACACUGCAAGCUCUUCUGUGAAAAAAAUAUACUAUGAACUAUGAAUUUUGAUUUUGAUUUCACUUUAUCUUUUUAUUUUUUUCCGUUGGAGUUGGUUUUAUAUGGUUGAGAAUUGUGUCACUGCAAAAUUCAGGUUGCUUAUUGAGGAAUUUGUCUGAAUAAGUUUGCUAUUCUUGGUGUUAUUGGGCUGAAAUCAAUUCAGGGUCGUACUUUUCUAAUUUAGCAUUGGACUUUUGAUUAAGCAAUUGAGAUUGAGGUAAGAGUAGAUAAAAUGAAAUACAUGAUUGGCCAAUGCCAUGUGGUUUGAUUGAAUUAGAUUAGUUAUUUUAUUUAUUUCUAUCAUAUAAUAGUGCUUGUUUUUGUAGGAUGCCUCACACUUUUGUACUAUUGUAUAUUCUUCUUUGUGCAAAUUACUUGUUUGAUAGAGAUAAAAUUGGAAAGCUUUCCAGAAUCAAAUUGUCAGAUGUUUUGAUUUUCAUGUUAAUUUCUAGUUUUAGAUAACAGGAAUUUACCAAAAGGAUGAUUAAUAAAUCUACUGACUGCACAGUUUUCUUUUCCUAUAGGAGAUCAUAUGUAACUUACAUACAAAGCAAAGAAGUUUGAGUUAUAUAAAACCAUGACAAGUAACAAAAUUUUCUCAAGUACUUGAAGUAACUCUAUGCUUACAACUUAUAAUUAUUAACUAAACUAAAAUAAUCUUGAUCCACACAUUUAUCAUUACUGUGUAUGCAGUCUAAAGCAAUCAAAUAUACAAUAAUAACUUCGUGUCUAUUGAUGCAUAUGCUGAAUAUCACUUCAUAGACAGUUUAAAAGCAACACAGUAGUAGUGCAUGGUAUAUAUGGGAUAUUUCCCUAAUUAGCCGAAGACUAGUUUUUUUUUUUUUUUUUUGCGGUUCAGUUGAGUAAAUUAGAGUACCAAAUGGGCCGAAAAGUAAUUAAGUGUUGUUUUCUGGUGUUGAAAUUUUGGGCUUAUAAUUAAAUGCAGAGUAUACAGUUAUCCGCUGCAUACAUUUGAUAAAAAAUUCUCUUAUCAUGACACAGAUAGGGACACUACUAACUUAAAUUGUUUUGUUUUGUUUUGUUAAAACUUCGCAAUCUGCUUAAGCAUUUGAAAAGAGAAUGAUUCUAAUAUAUAAUCAGUCUUCAAAGCUGAAAUUGCUAUAUUUAUUUGUUUAUUUUGUCAAUACGUAUAUGCUACAAUCUACUAGGCACAAUGCAUGCAUUCCUAUCUGACAAUCAACAUCUCAGAUCAAACAUGGUUCAAUAUAAAAUAUCCUGUUUCUUCUAUGUAUCAUUUUUAGAAAUCUCCUUCAAUCAGAUAUCUUAUAUAAAUUUAUAAGAUAUCUGUUUCAGACCAAUUUAUAAGAUAUUUGAUCCCACUACACAGAUCCACUAAAAUUUUGCUUCUACUAUUCCUUCAAUCAGGUCUUUUUCACUUUUUGCCUAGUCUCAUUCCAUGACAUAAACAUGAAUCUCCUUUUUACUACUAUUCCUUCAAUCAUGUCUUUUUUAACUUUAGCCUAGUCUCAGUCCAUGAUAUAAAGAUGAAUCUAAUACAGGGAAAUUGGUGGAAUAUGAUGAGCCUUCAAGACUAAUGGACACCAACUCUUCAUUCUCUAAGCUGGUAGCCAAAUAUUCUACUAUAGAGAAAAGUAAAUCAUUUAUAUAUUAUUAGGAAUGAUAAAUAUCGCAGUCACUAGCUUAACAAUGAAGUGAUGGUAAAUCA
rnacentral:lncRNA from 1 species